rnacentral:rRNA from 1 species
UACGGAGGUGGCAAGCGUUGCUCGGAAUCACUGGGCGUAAAGGGCGCGUAGGCGGCCAGCGCAAGUCAGUUGUGAAAUCUCCGGGCUUAACUCGGAACGGUCAACUGAUACUGCGCGGCUAGAGUGCAGAAGGGGCAACUGGAAUUCUCGGUGUAGCGGUGAAAUGCGUAGAUAUCGAGAGGAACACCUGCGGCGAAGGCGGGUUGCUGGGCUGACACUGACGCUGAUGCGCGAAAGCCAGGGGAGCGAACGGG